CACGUAGGCGGUGAAUCGGGUUGAAAGUGAAAGUCGCCAAAAACUGGCGGAAUGCUCUCGAAACCAAUUCACUUGAGUGAGACAGAGGAGAGUGGAAUUUCGUGUGUAGGGGUGAAAUCCGGAGAUCUACGAAGGAACGCCAAAAGCGAAGGCAGCUCUCUGGGUCCCUACCGACGCUGGGUGCGAAAGCAUGGGGAGCGAAG
rnacentral:rRNA from 1 species